rnacentral:rRNA from 1 species
UACGGAGGGUGCGAGCGUUGUCCGGAAUCACUGGGCGUAAAGGGCGCGUAGGCGGCCUGGCAAGUCGAUGGUGAAAGCCCGAGGCUCAACUUCGGGUCGGCCACUGAUACUGCUGGGCUUGAGUCGACUAGAGGCAGAUGGAAUUCCGGGUGUAGCGGUGGAAUGCGUAGAGAUCCGGAGGAAGACCGGUGGCGAAGGCGGUCUGCUGGGCAGUUUCUGACACUGAGGCGCGACAGCGUGGGGAGCAAACAGG